rnacentral:rRNA from 1 species
AUUGAACGCUGGCGGCAUGCAUUACACAUGCAAGUCGAACGGCAGCACGGGAGCAAUCCUGGUGGCGAGUGGCGAACGGGUGAGUAAUAUAUCGGAACGUGCCCAGUCGUGGGGGAUAACGUAGCGAAAGCUACGCUAAUACCGCAUACGAUCUAUGGAUGAAAGCGGGGGAUCGCAAGCCCUCGCGCGAUUGGAGCGGCCGAUAUCAGAUUAGGUAGUUGGUGAGGUAAAGGCUCACCAAGCCGACGAUCUGUAGCUGGUCUGAGAGGACGACCAGCCACACUGGGACUGAGACACGGCCCAGACUCCUACGGGAGGCAGCAGUGGGGAAUUUUGGACAAUGGGCGCAAGCCUGAUCCAGCAAUGCCGCGUGCAGGAUGAAGGCCUUCGGGUUGUAAACUGCUCUUGUACGGAACGAAACGGUGAGCUCUAAUACAGUUUGCUAAUGACGGUACCGUAAGAAUAAGCACCGGCUAACUACGUGCCAGCAGCCGCCGUAAGAC